rfam:Poecilia formosa, whole genome shotgun sequence.
AGGAAUCUUUGCUCUUAAGAUAUUUGUCUAGCAGGUUUCUCAUAAUGAGAAGCCCCC